rnacentral:rRNA from 1 species
AACGAACGCUGGCGGCAUGCCUAACACAUGCAAGUCGAACGAGACCUUCGGGUCUAGUGGCGCACGGGUGCGUAACGCGUGGGAACCUGCCCUUAGGUUCGGAAUAACUCCCCGAAAGGGGUGCUAAUACCGGAUAAUGUCUUCGGACCAAAGAUUUAUCGCCUUUGGAUGGGCCCGCGUUGGAUUAGCUAGUUGGUAGGGUAAAAGCCUACCAAGGCGACGAUCCAUAGCUGGUCUGAGAGGAUGAUCAGCCACACUGGGACUGAGACACGGCCCAGACUCCUACGGGAGGCAGCAGUGGGGACUAGUGGACAAUGGGCGAAAGCCUGAUCCAGCCAUGCCGCGUGAGUGAUGAAGGCAUUAGGGUUGUAAAGCUCUUUUACCAGGGAUGAUAAUGACAGUACCGGGAGAAUAAGCAACGGCUAACUACGUG